CCAGCCAAGUAGCAUAGUGGAUAAAGAGCCAGGCCUAGAGACAGAAGGUCCUGGGUUCAAAUUGGACCUCGGAUACUUCCCAGCUGUGUGACUCUGAUAGUUAGAUAGAAAACAGCUGUUUUAAAUCUCAGCAACAGGACCCUAAAGUCCUGGCUGGAAGAGCUGUUUCUAAAUAUCCUUUCCCUUAAGGAACAACUUCCUGGAUUAGAAAAAAAAAACAACCUGUGGAAAGUUUGUUGCUUUGCCCUGCUCCCCACGUGUUUUGUGAAAUCACAAAAUUUAUAUAUAAAAAUGAGUACUACAUUCUUUGACAAUUAUAUGGCAGCUGAAGAAUUAGGGGCAUUGAGGAAUGCAGGAUACCUCCAAAUUUUUAUAUUAAUAGGUACUGUCAUUUUUGUACUCCUCAAUACUAUAUUUAGAGAUGCUAAAAUAAAAAAAAUUGAGGAUAAAAUAGAAAAAAAUGAGGAUAAAAUAGAAAAUAUUGAGGAUAAAAUAGAAAAUAUUGAGGAUAAAAUAGAAAAAAUUGAGGAUAAAAUAGAAAAUAUUGAGGAUAAAAUAGGAAAAGUUGAGGAUAAAAUGCAAGCCCAAUUAGAAGAUCUAAAAAAUUUCUUACAGGAUCAAUUGGCAACCACCCACUCAACCAGAAACAGACCUGUUUCUGAACCUUUGAAUGAGGAAAUUUCCUUCCCUGAAAUAGAGAUGGAAAACACCUUCCCUAUAGCCCAGUUAACAGACUGCUUCUCUCGUGCAGUGCAAAUCUUGACUGAAUUUAAUACCCAAAACCCUUCCCCUGCAAUCCCAGUUUCUCAUGUUCCCUCUCCUACAGAAAACCAAAUUCCAACGCAAAGGAGAUCUUGUCCUCCUAGAGAAACCUGUCCUUGUCAAACUGACCCACAGGUACAAAAUUCAACUAGAGGCCUGUUUCCUCUAAGAGAAGUACCUGAAAUAGGACGGAAUGGGGAUGUGGUGACUUUAAGACAUAGGAUACCGUUUACUCCCCAAGAAAUAAAUGAAUUUACACGAAAUAUCCCCACAUAUGAACAAGAUCCUUUUCUAGUAACAAAAAAGAUGGGAGACAUAUUUUUUCAGUAUAAUCCAUCUUACAAGGAUGUUGAGAACUUACUACAGGCUUUUUUAAGUGAACGUGAAAAAAAUAAAAUAAUUGCUCAUGUCAACAAAACCCGGGGGCGUAAUGCAGCACAUUGGCCAUCUCAGGAGCCCGAAUGGGACUAUAACAAUCCUGAGGAUUAUCUACAACUAUACCGUUGUAGAGAGGCCAUCC
rnacentral:lncRNA from 1 species